GCACGUAUUUUUCGUCUCCCGCACGUAGUUUUGACAGGCACCGUUGGAUUUUCUUCAUCUUCACACUAAAGACGUUCGAUUCAACUACUCUGCUAAUUACAUUUCUGUUCCUUUUCUUCUGUAGUUCUCCUCACUCGAUCUCACAGCAAGAAAUCAUCAACUCCUCCAUUAACACAUGUCUGGAAAAAAACCCUAGAACUCAAAUUAGAGCUUGGUUUCAAAAAUAAAUCAGAUGUUUUCUCGAUCGAUUUUCAGAUGAUGAUAAUGGUUCCGAAAUAAUAUAAUUGAUGACAAAUUAGGUUGUGGUGUGAUUCUCACUUUCUUCUUCUCCCUCACAAAGUAAACAUUGAGGAGGAAGAGGAAGAGAAAAUUUGUUGCACUGUUUCAUCCGUGUAGGAAGGACUUCCACAGGGCUGAGAAUUUCUGUUCUUUGAGAUCCACAUAUGAAGACUUCUUUGAGAACAACAUUUCUCGCUGCGGCUUCCCAAAAUCCAAGAAUGCAACAAUAACCAUGCAUUGCACUUGCCGUUAGUCCUGUUCUGAAAUAAUCUUUGGUUGUGACCGGGAACGAAUUUAUGAAACUGUGAUGUCCAUUGCUCUUCUUUCCAUGAGACCGUAUAAAGCUGGAAUAAGUGGCAAUGAAAGACGUAAUGCAUAUUAUAUGCAGAUGUAUACAUUUAUUCUUGAAAAUGCCUGCGAAGUUGGAACUAAUAUAUUCACCAAACAAACUCGGUACUCAUGUCUCACCAAAUCCCCUCCAGUUGAACAGAUACAUGAAGUGAAGUCUUUUGGUGUGGCCGAUCGCGGGAGAGUUGGCGUUAUGGAAGCAACUUGCUGAUUGGAUUCACUUCUUUUUUCUUUCUUUCUUCUUAUACCGAGGUUAUGUUUUAAUUAUUGGCAUCCAGUUCCGUUAGGUUUUCCAUACGGUGGAUUCAGUUUCUAUGAAAGGUGACAGAAAAACUUAUCUAAUUUGGCAAUUGGGUGUUUCUUAUCUUGCUGAACAAUCUGCUUUUGCAUUUUAAUUCACUACUAAUUUUUAUGUAAGAGAGAAACAAUAUUGGCUAACAAGGGUAGCAGAGUGUCAUUAUUCAGCAAACAUGGAAGAUGAGUGUGAAAAAAUGAUGGUUUGCCGACGUGCAACGCACGUGCACUCCACUUGUGCACAUUAAGGUCAUUAAUGUACUUGGGCAUAAAUAAGCAUUCAGUCUUCCUGAAUUAUCUUUUUACAUUAUUUCCUGUUACAAUUCUAUUGCAGGUGUUUACUGCAGAAUAUUCUCUGAUAUGCAAAAUCUCUGACUUCAAAGUGCCAUAUAUUUCCUUUAGGGAUGGAAUAAUAAUGGGUUUUGGAAUUGGUUUAUUUGGGCAUGGUCGCUAUCCUGUCAUCACUGAGGUAGUCUUGUUUGCCUGACAGAGUCAUAUACAUAGAGCAAUUAGAUUCUUUAUUACAUGUUUCCCGUUUCCGUUUCGAGUGGGUUCUUAGAUCGACUUUUAAAAAGACACGCUCUAAAGCACCGGUCAUGUUUGCUCCAAAUGGGGGUGCUCCACAUCCUAAAUAUUUUUGUGGGCGACCUCACAAAGUACUGGUCUUUGAAUCAUCCGCAUAUGAGCGCCUCCACAAGGCUGAGUUUUCUAAAUACUUCUUGACCAGUUAAUAAAAAGCUUUUUAAAAAAAAAAUCUUGCUUUUUGUCCAAAUAUUUUGUUACUGGCACUCCAACAUGUUAUGUUAUUGUGCCUUUCUUAGCAUACAGUUUCGAUGCUUGAAAAUGGUAUUAGCUUGUUCCCAGAUGUUGGCUUUUCUUACAUAGCAGCAAAAGGUCCAGGUGGAUGAUCAGUGGAGUAUGCCUGCAUCACUUCACAGUUCACAGUAUCACUUUCUCAUUCAUUUGUUUGACUGCCAUGAUCUCUAGAUUUAUAUUCUGAAUCUUCUAGAACUACAUGCAUCAUGUAUUGGCGUAUCGUUGUUGUUUGAUCAUCUUUGAAUAAGUCUUUAUCAUGCUUUGGCAAACUUUUAGCAUGAAAAUCAUUAUGAUAUUACUAAGUAAAUAAUUGUAUUAUUAUAUUCCUGAACCAUAUGUAACCCAUGAUGAUGUCCGUAUGCCUUCAGAUAACGCUUUCUGUAGUCUUGGAUUCUUUGACAUUUGUUACUGUGCUCCUCAAGGAUGGUUUGACUGACUGUUGUCGCAUGCUAGCUAGCUGCCCUUGUAUACUUUGGUCCCCACUCCAUACAACUAUGACUUUCAUUUCUUUGUUUAGUACUCGUUGGUUUAGCAUUUGCAUCUAUCGUUUCCAGCUGCUUUACCAUGUUUGUGUUUUUGAUUGUCUGUACUGUCUUUGACCAAGCAUACCAGUGCUGACUCUCAACCGUCACGUUAUCUUGUAUACGGGAAUCAGUCAUUGAGAUAAUUGAAGAGCUGAAGAAGCUUCAACAGAGUACUGAUGCUACAGGUGCGGUGGAUUAUAGUAUCUUCUCCUUGGGUAGAUAUUCCUUUCUCUUGCUACGUUUUUGUGAAUGAACAGGUGAGCGAGUCAGGUAUUUCCCAAGGAUUUAGAUGCUACCCAGCAGCAACGUUAGAUCCUGAAUAUGCAGAAGCCAUGGCAUUAUUGUAAUCCAUCAAGUGAGCAUUGGAAAAAAACUGUACACAUAUAUAUCUGGAGAAUGACUGCAAAGUCUAGUCAUAGACGGUUUAAAUUUCGGCUAAUGUUAACUUGUAUACCAGGGCAUACGUUGAGCAUUGAUAUUUUGUAUAGAUUGUAUCAAAUUUUUGUCUUGGAUUUCUGCA